rnacentral:rRNA from 1 species
UUACUGAGUUUACGCUCUACAACCCUUUGUGAACAUACCUAUAACUGUUGCUUCGGCGGGUAGGGUCUCCGCGACCCUCCCGGCCUCCCGCCUCCGGGCGGGUCGGCGCCCGCCGGAGGAUAACCAAACUCUGAUUUAACGACGUUUCUUCUGAGUGGUACAAGCAAAUAAUCAAAACUUUUAACAACGGAUCUCUUGGUUCUGGCAUCGAUGAAGAACGCAGCGAAAUGCGAUAAGUAAUGUGAAUUGCAGAAUUCAGUGAAUCAUCGAAUCUUUGAACGCACAUUGCGCCCGCCAGCAUUCUGGCGGGCAUGCCUGUUCGAGCGUCAUUUCAACCCUCAAGCUCUGCUUGGUGUUGGGGCCCUACAGCUGAUGUAGGCCCUCAAAGGUAGUGGCGGACCCUCCCGGAGCCUCCUUUGCGUAGUAACUUUACGUCUCGCACUGGGAUCCGGAGGGACUCUUGCCGUAAAACCCCCAAUUUUCCAAAGGUUGACCUCGGAUCAGGUAGGAAUACCCGCUGAACUUAAGCAUAUCAAUAAGCGGAGGAAAAGAAACCAACAGGGAUUGCCUCAGUAACGGCGAGUGAAGCGGCAACAGCUCAAAUUUGAAAUCUGG